UACAGAGGGGGCGAGCGUUGUUCGGAAUUACUGGGUGUAAAGGGCGCGUAGGCGGCCAACUAAGUCGGAUGUGAAAUCCCCAGGCUCAACCUGGGAACUGCAUCCGAUACUGGAUGGCUUGAAUUCGGGAGAGGGAUGCAGAAUUCCAGGUGUAGCGGUGAAAUGCGUAGAUAUCUGGAGGAAUACCGGUGGCGAAGGCGGCAUCCUGGACCGACAUUGACGCUGAGGAGCGAAAGCUAGGGGAGCAAACGGG
rnacentral:rRNA from 1 species